rnacentral:rRNA from 1 species
CCUACGGGUGGCAGCAGUGGGGAAUAUUGCACAAUGGGGGAAACCCUGAUGCAGCGACGCCGCGUGAGUGAAGAAGCGUUUCGGCGCGUAAAGCUCUGUCAGCGGGGAAGAAACACGGUUCGCGAGAGCCGCCGACGGUACCCGACCCAGAAGCACCGGCUAACUACGUCCCAGCAGCCGCGGUAAUACGUAGGGGGCAAGCGCUAUCCGGAUUCACUGGGUGGGAAGGGAGCGUCGCCGGCGAGACAAGUCUGGAGUGAAAGGCCGGGGCCCAACCCCGGGACUGCUCUGGAAACUGCCUGGCUGGAGUACAGGAGAGGUAAGUGGAAUGCCUAGUGUAGCGGUGAAAUGCGUAGAUAGUAGGAGGAACACCAGUGGCGAAGGCGGCUGACUGGACUGUAACUGACGUUGAGGCUCGAAAGCGUGGGGAGCAAACAGGAUUAGAUACCCUGGUAGUC